UCCAAGAUGGCUGCCAUGGUGGUUUUCAGGUAAAUGGAAUUACCUAUUUUCUGAAUGGCUAUUGCAAUGCACUUUCAAAAACAACAACAACAAAGUGUAGUUUUGCAAUAGGCAAUUAUAUGCUGAUAGAAUUACAAUGACAGCAAAAUCUGGCAAUGUGUUAGCUCACCAUUAAAAAUGAGCUGUAAUAAAAGUCCCGUUACCCAAAUCUCCAUGAAAUUUCCAAUGAAAGCACACAGUGAACCUGACUUUUUGAGGUAAUCAUCCAAGUUCUGUGUGAGGAGAUUUUAACAUAAUAACAUCUGGAAUUAAUCAUUGAUAAAUCGAUUAAUAAGGCUAACUGAUCAAACAGAUUAAAAGCAUUUUACACACUUGGCCUUGGCCAGAGUAUACACCCAGUUAUACGCCUAGUUAUUUAUUUAUAUAAUUUUAAAUCCAUCUCUAGUCACAUCUGACAAGUUUGUAGCUUUGCUUGUCAGCAUGGUUUCUAUGAAACGAUGGGAGUGUACAUUUGCAGACCGGCGGAUCAUAAAACAUAUAUUUGAAUUCUUUUAAUUAAAUUAAAUUGUUAAAUUGGUGUAUCACAUGCAUGAAAAGAACCUCAAACAUAUCGGUAUUAUAUCUCAGCCAUCUACCGUUCCUCUUCUCCAGAAAUUGGCAUUGGCACCAGCCAAUGAAAAAUACCCCGUAUUGGUCACCCUUGAAAAUCUGUUGCUCUUUGCUCUUCUGUUGUGAUACUGUCCGUCCUCGAAGAAGGUCAAAGAGAUUCUGCUGCUCACGUUGACAUUUUAUAUGAUUUUUUUUCUUUGUUACUUUUCAUGAACCCGUGUUCCUUAAGUUUCGAUUUGCAUAUUGCACUGAAAUUGACCUGCCUUCUUUUAGCACAGCGUGCACUUAUGUGAAGUCACACAUUACCCACUAGUAGAUUUUUUUUUUGUUACAUUUUUUUAUUUAAUUUUUUUUUUUUUUUCUUGUAUUUGAAACUACUGCACGUUGGGAAUCUGCUAGUUUGAGAUCUUGACUGACAGCAAUGAAGCUGUCAUUUUGGAAACUAUCUCACGGAUAAACUUUUCCCUGCGUCACACACAACUGUGAUGCGUCACGAGACGUUUGUGAUUCAGACGCUUUCAGCCAAUGAAACGACGGGAGACGACUCUGAUACUGCUGAAUAUAAAACAGGUAGAAAAUGUGCAGAACUGUGAAGCCUCAGAAUGACUUGACUGAAGAAGACGCACUGAUUUACUUGACGGCUUAACUUACAGUUAGGUCCAUAAAUAUUUGGACAAGCAAUUGUCAUUUUUGGCUGUUUAUCAUAACAUAGUUACUUCGAAAGCAGGUGUUACUGUAUAAAUAGUUCAGUGUAAGUAAGUUUGCCUCAUUCAGUUUUAAUUUGACACCCCAGGGAUGGUGUUUUUUUUAUUUUAACCAGUUUUGGAAGCAUGCACCGGUGCCAUGCAUCGUUGCAUCCACUGCACUACAAAGCCCUCCCAGGCCAUGGAUGGCAACCAUCCAGGGAGACAACCUGUCCAUCCCUGCCUCCCACAAGUAAUUGUGGGACAUAUUCAGCUAAUACCUGGGGGCCCCUUGGUGUUUCCACUCAUCCUGGGGUCUACAGCAGUGAGGCACCUGUACACAGAAUCAUACACAGAGAAAUUCCCCAUAUGGUCAUAAAGUUGUAGCAGAUGUUCCUUCACAGCGCAAUCAGUCAGCCUCACCUCAGUCCCCUUAAGUAAGUAAAUUUGUUUGACACAGUCAUACCCAAGGAUUCCCAAAUCACCAAUUUCCCAGGCAUCUCUUCAGUCUCACAGGCUGAGGAUGUGAAUGUCACUGCUGAAAUAAGUGACAGUCUUUGGUUUUUCAACCAAAAGAUAUUUGGUUUUUCUGGCAAAAAAUAUGUUUGACUUGACAGUAUUGAAUUCCAACAACAACUGCUGAAAUCAACUCUGGACCUUUUAUCACUUCACUAAUAACGUGAAACUACAAUUAAAUUCAUUAUUCGAUACAUUCUUCUAAGUAACUGGUGCACUUGGUUACUUCCGGAGACUAAGAUGAGGUGUCACUUACACGAUGAGGGAAUAUCAUGUAUGUUACGGCCAUGUGGCAUGUUUCUCUGUGUUCGAUCCAGUACGCAGGUGACUUAGUGUUAAGGACCCCAGCGGCUGAAGAAGGUCAAAGAGACGUCCAUAUUUCACCUGUGGCAAAUGGAUGGUUAUUGUUAAAAGGUGGGCAUGGACUAGACUAGUUGUCUGCCUGGGUGGUUGUCAUCCAGGACCCAGGACGGUUCUGCCAAGUAGGGAAUAUAGGGAUGUGGCACCAGCGCAUGCAUCCAUUCCUGACCUGUGGUUCCAGAAAUCUUUGAAGACCAAACACAAGGUGGUUGUGUGACGGGUGACAGAAGAAUUAUUUCUCUUUGAAACACUUGGCCAGAUCAAGAACACCCUCCAAAACGGUAGAUUAAAAUACAAAAUAACCAGAAAUUAAACCUGAAAGUCUGCACUUUAACUUCAUCAUUGUUAUUUGCAUUCAACUCUAAUAUGAUGUAAAAAAACAACUUUGUAAUUGUAUAAAUAUUUCAAAUAGAGUGUUUAAAUCUCACUGAUUGACCCACAAGUCCUUCAAAUGGUCACAGAGGCUUCCUUACUAUGAAGUCAAUCCAAUUAUUAGGUUUUUUUUUUUGUCGGUUUUUUGUUUUUCUAUUUGAGCAUUAGUGUAAAUGAUACUCAUUAAGCUGUUCCUACUGUUGGGAGUUUGGGAAUAUGGAGCGUAAAUAUUGUAAAACUGCAGGCGAUGUCGAUGUUACAUAAAGCAGCAAAUAUGAAGUAAUUUUUGAACACAGCCUGAAUCUAACCACAAUAAAACCCAUUCAGUGCACCAGUUUUAAUGCCAAAGUAUCUCUCACUUUCUAGCUUUAUCAUUUUCAUCAGCUUGGUAUUUUCUUCAGGAUUUAUUUGCGCGUUUUGUUGCGUUUUCUAAACUUUUGCACAUUAGACUUUGGUAUGAAGCGACUCCUUUAGGCUCGUUCUUAAAAAUUUGUGCGUGAUGUUUUGCAGCUCGAAAGGAAAAUGUUGUGUAUUAACUCUCCUUCAGUACCAGCUUCGCACACCAGAGGGCGAAAUUGCACAGGAAUGAAAUGGCUGCAGCAGCCUGAAUGCAGAUGCGAUUAUGAGUUUAGGAAGAUUUGACAGCAGGUGCAGCGUU